AGUGAACGCUGGCGGUAGGCCUAACACAUGCAAGUCGAACGGCAGCACAGUAAGAGCUUGCUCUUACGGGUGGCGAGUGGCGGACGGGUGAGGAAUACAUCGGAAUCUACUUUUUCGUGGGGGAUAACGUAGGGAAACUUACGCUAAUACCGCAUACGACCUACGGGUGAAAGCAGGGGAUCUUCGGACCUUGCGCGAUUGAAUGAGCCGAUGUCGGAUUAGCUAGUUGGCGGGGUAAAGGCCCACCAAGGCGACGAUCCGUAGCUGGUCUGAGAGGAUGAUCAGCCACACUGGAACUGAGACACGGUCCAGACUCCUACGGGAGGCAGCAGUGGGGAAUAUUGGACAAUGGGGGCAAGCCUGAUCCAGCCAAACCGCGGUGGUGAAGAAGGCCUUCGGGUUGGAAAACCCUUUUGUUGGGAAAAAAAAGCAGCAGGUUAAUACCCCGCUGUUCUGACGGUACCCAAAGAAUAAGCACCGGCUAACUUCGUG
rnacentral:rRNA from 1 species